rnacentral:rRNA from 1 species
GACGUAGGGUGCGAGCGUUGUCCGGAUUUAUUGGGCGUAAAGAGCUCGUAGGCGGUCUGUUGCGUCCGCUGUGAAAACUCGGGGCUUAACCCCGAGCCUGCAGUGGAUACGGGCAGACUAGAGGUAGGUAGGGGAGAAUGGAAUUCCCGGUGUAGCGGUGAAAUGCGCAGAUAUCAGGAGGAACACCGGUGGCGAAGGCGGAUCUCUGGGCCUUACCUGACGCUGAGGCGCGAAAGCUAGGGGAGCGAACAGG